rnacentral:rRNA from 1 species
UUGCCUACGGGGCGCAGCAGUGAGGAAUAUUGGUCAAUGGGAGAGAUCCUGAACCAGCCAAGCCGCGUGAGGGAAGACGGCCCUAUGGGUUGUAAACCUCUUUUGUCGGAGAACAAAACCCGGGACGUGUCCCGGACUGCGUGUAUCCGAAGAAAAAGCAUCGGCUAACUCCGUGCCAGCAGCCGCGGUAAUACGGAGGAUGCGAGCGUUAUCCGGAAUUACUGGGUGUAAAGGGAGCGUAGACGGUUAAGUAAGUCUGGAGUGAAAGG